GGACCAAGGAGUCUAACACGUGCGCGAGUCAUUGGGUCCCACUACACCCAAAGGCGUAUUGAACGAAAAGGUUGGCCUCCGCGCCGACCUAGGGAGGAUGGGGGCUCGUUCGCGGGCCCCCCGCACUCCCGGGGCGUCUCGUCCUACCGUCGCUCGUCGGCGGAAGGUGAGGCGCACCAUGAGCGCACGCGUUGGUACCCGAAAGAUGGUGAACUAUGCCUGGCCAGGACGAAGCCAGGGGAAACCCUGGUGGAGGUCCGUAGCGAUUCUGACGUGCAAAUCGAUCGUCAGAGCUGGGUAUAGGGGCGAAAGACUAAUCGAACCAUCUAGUAGCUGGUUCCCUCCGAAGUUUCCCUCAGGAUAGCUGGCGCUCGCAGAAACGAGUCCCAUGCGGUAAAGCGAAUGAUUAGAGGCUAUGGGGCCGAAACGGCCUCAACCUAUUCUCAAACUCUCAAUGCGUGGGAUCGUCGACUUGCUUAACCAGUGAAGUCGACGGCUCGGAUCGGAGUGCCCAGUGGGCCACUUUUGGUAAGCAGAACUGGCGCUGUGGGAUGAACCAAACGCCGGGUUAAGGCGCCUGAAUGAACGCUCAUGUGAUACCAUGAAAGGUGUUGGUUGCUUAAGACAGCAGGACGGUGGCCAUGGAAGUCGGA
rnacentral:rRNA from 1 species